rnacentral:rRNA from 1 species
CAAUAGCGUAUAUUAAAGUUGUUGCAGUUAAAAGCUCGUAGUUGGAUUUGUGGUUGGGCCGUCCGGUCCGCUCUCUGAGCGGUGCUUGGACAGCUCGUCCAUCCUUGGGUGGAAUCUGUGUGGCAUUAAGUUGUCGUGCAGGGGAUGCCCAUCGUUUACUGUGAAAAAUUAGAGUGUUCAAAGCAGGCUUAUGCCGUUGAAUAUAUUAGCAUGGAAUAAUGAGAUAGGACCUUGGUACUAUUUUGUUGGUUUGCGCACCGAGGUAAUGAUUAAUAGGGACAGUUGGGGGUAUUCGUAUUCCAUUGUCAGAGGUGAAAUUCUUGGAUUUUUGGAAGACGAACUACUGCGAAAGCAUUUACCAAGGAUGUUUUCAUUAAUCAAGAACGAAAGUUAGGGGAUCAAAGAUGAUCAGAUACCAU